GGAGUCCUCUGCGGUCCUUUUCUCUCAUUGCUAAGCUGCUCGGGAUAGGGUAAAAGAGUGGCACUUCUAAGCAGGACUCACCUCCCCACCAUGGAUUUUACCUGGCUUGGGCUUGCAGGUGCCCCUGUGCGGGCAGCACAAAGUGGCUCACAUUUUUCAUACUCACUGCAGUAAAUUUUUAAUGAAAGUUUAAACUGAAGCAGCGCAGACAUUUUGCAUACAAGACAAGUGUAUAAAAUACACUUUCCUGCGAUAAAAAAUGAAUGAUACCUGCUCUGAAAAGCCUCAGUCAGAAUAUACAGCACCAGUGUCAGCUAUUGGGUUCACAGGGGAAACUGUGUUUUCGUGGAAGGAAAUAUACUUCUAAGUUCCAGGAAAACAAACUUCAAACUGUGAGGUUACUACUGAGUCAAAUACGAGAAAGCAAAUCGAAGAAACACAAGACAAAUUGAUUUUUAUUUUUUUAAAAUCUCAUUAUUUUAAAGCUGAACUCCAGAAUUUUUGGCACAAAAUUCAUGAUCUUUGAAAUCCUCAUUACUCAAGGUUGGCGGUACCUUUGGUUCUCUUCUGCAUUAAUAUGCUGGUGGAUGGGGAGAGGGAACUCUGGAGGAAUGGAAAAGCAACAGGUGUUGAAAGGGGCCUGUGUCCUUGCCAGAAACAAAACCGUUCAUUUCUCGCACUUUUCGGGAGAAGACAGCAGGGAACACUGGAACUGGAAGCACCAGGAGACCAACUGUACGUCUGAAGAAAAGUCUUGCAAGGCAUCUCUCUCUUAAGGAAAACUUACACCCUGCAGGAUCGUCUCUGCUGUCCCACAGGGACAUCUGAAGGGAAGCUGAUGCCCAGCCAGGCCUUCUGCACUCUCACAGUCUGCUCAGAGGUAAUCUUUGCCUAUCCUUCUCCUGGUUAUCUUUUUUUUUUUUUCUUUUUUUUUUUUUCUUUUUUUUCCUUCUUGUAAGUCUCUAAUAAUAAAAAGAUGGCAGAAGAUGGUCA
rnacentral:lncRNA from 1 species